rnacentral:rRNA from 1 species
UACGUAGGGGGCGAGCGUUAAUCGGAAUUACUGGGCGUAAAGCGUGUGCAGGCGGUUUUGUAAGCCAGAUGUGAAAGCCCCGGGCUUAACCUGGGAAUGGCAUUUGGGACUGCAAGGCUUGAGUGCGGCAGAGGAGACUGGAAUUCCUGGUGUAGCAGUGAAAUGCGUAGAUAUCAGGAGGAAUACCGAUGGCGAAGGCAGGUCUCUGGGCUGACACUGACGCUCAUGCACGAAAGCGUGGGGAGCAAACAGG